AAAGGAGAAAUUCAAAUUUUUUUUAUUUGAUUGAUAUGGAUGAGGAAGGCAGACUAAGAAAUGUGUUUUGGGCAGAUGCAAGAUCUAUAGCAGCCUACGAAGCUUUUGGUGAUGUUAUAUCAUUUGAUAAAACAUACCUAACAAAUAAGUAAUGAUAUGCCCUUUGCUCCAUUUGUUGGAGUAAAUCACCAUGGGCAAACUAUACUAUUUGGUUGUGGUUUGUUAUCAAAGGAAGAUAAAGAAACUUAUAUUUGGUUGUUCAGAACAUGGUAAGAAUGCAUGUCAAGCAAGGCUCCUAAGGCAAUAAUUGCAGAUCAGUGCAUGGCUAUUCGAGGUGCAAUUAAGACAGUCUUUCCAAAUUCUUAUCAUCGUCUUUGCCUUUGGCAUAUUAUGAAAGAAGUCUCUGAGAAGCUUGGGGGGCUAGCUCAGUAUAAAGAAAUUAAAAAAAUCUUGAAAAGUAUUGUUUAUGAGACCGUAGAUACUUAAGAGUUCGAAGAUAUUUGGUUGAAGAUGAUUAAGGAUUAUGACAUUGAAAAAAAUGUGUGGCUAAAUUCUUUAUACAUGAAUCGUCAACAAUGGGCCCCGGUGUUUGUUAAAGGAGUUUUUUGGGCUGGAAUGUAUACCACCAAAGAAGUGAAAGUAUAAAUGCUUUCUUUGAUGGUUAUGUUGGUCCAACAACAUCUCUCAAACAAUUUGUGGAGCAAUAUGAUAAUGCAUUAAAAAGUAAGAUUGAGAAAGAAAAUAAGGUUGAUUUUGCUUCUUUCAAUACAAGCUUUCCGAUGUUAACUGAUUGUCAUUUUGAGAAGCAACUACAAGAAGCCUACACCAAUGAAAUUUUUAAGUUAUUCCAAGAUGAGUUACGGGGAAUGUUAUAUUGCAAUCUCACAUUGACCAAUUCAGUUGGGCUAACAUGCACAUUUCAAGUGACGGACAUUUUUAGAGGAAAAGAUGGCAGACUCAGAAGACAAAUGGCAUUUAACAUUUCUUACAAUGAAAUUUAAUUUGAUAUUAAAUGUUCAUGUCGUCUAUUUGAAUUUAGAGGAAUUUUGUGUAGACAUAUAUGCAAAGUUCUUAUUGAAAAGAAUGUGAAAGAAAUUCCAUCUCAAUAUAUUUUACCCCGGUAGAGAAAGGAUACUAAACGUAGGCAUACUUACGUGAGGAAUUGUUAUGAUGAUGCACAAACCAAUGAAGAAAAAGCACGCUACAGCAAAUUAUGUUCUCAUUUUUCUAAAGCUGCUGAAAUUGGAAUAGAAUCCAAUGAAAAGUAUCAGUUUUUGAUGAAAUGUGUGGACGUCACAAUUGAUAAGCUUAUGGAUGAUACAAACUAUUGGGGGAGCCAUUCAAAUCAAGUUAUGUCACCAAUAUUUUUGGAAGAAGGCCAUGAGCACCAUCAAAUUACAUCUUCAACCACAAAAUUCCUAACUCCUUUGAAAGUGCGGAGUAAGGGGCGGCCACCAUCGAAGAGAAAGAAGUCAAAAGUUGAAGAAAUAAUCAUUAGAAAUAAAAGAAAGAAAACUCAAACAAAAAAGAAUAUACAAGCUCAAAAUGACACACAAGCUGAAUUGUGUACGUAAGGAAGUGUGGUGAAUUCGAAUUCUCAUGUAGAUGUAGUGACUAUGUCGGUUGAUAGCUUCAAUUCACAGAAACAUAGCUUUGAUGCUUCUUCACAGGUAAACAAAAUUCACAUAUAUUAUGGAUAUUGUCUUCUUAUAUUGAUUGGUGUUUAAGGUGAUGCAAUUACAAAAACUUCAACAGUAAGAAUGGCAGGGCUUCUAUAUUGUGCAGUAGGAAUGGAUUGGUUAGUGGCAUUGGUUUGCUAAUAUGGUGGAUAAAUGGAAAUCAAAUUGUUCUAGCAUUUGUUUUUUUGGCCUAUGUCCAGCAUCAAGUGUAUCUGUACUGCAGUUUGUGAUGUGUUCUUCAAUGCUUGAGUCUUAUGUUCUCUAUUUUUGGCCUAUGUUCUCUAUCAAAUUGUUCUAGCAGUUUGU